AAGAAUUUUGAAAUACAAACGGAGUCUGUCAAACUUAUUGCAUCGUAAUUACGACCAAUUUAUUUAGUAAUAAACUAAAUAAAUUGAUAAUAUGCUGCUUCGGCUACAAUGGAUAGUGUCUAGGCAUUUGUACUUUUCAUGAAAACUAGGAAUGAGAGUAGUGUGGCAGAAUGUGCGACAAAAUUACAAACGUAUGGAAUUGAUGGCAACUGUAAUCCGCACGAGAUUAGAGAAAGUGGUGUCAAUAAGGGUUGUUUUGAUAUUGCUUGAACUUUCCUGUGAAUAUACAGAAAGGAUCUAUAGGACAAAUUCAUUGCAUAACUUUACCAUUAUCAUUUCACUAGUGGAUGUGUGUGUAAAAGCAAAUAUUUUUAGUUAAAAAUGCUAUUGUUCUUCUACAAUGGAACCUCAUUUACAAUAAAGUUCAAGAAGUGUU